GAUGAACGCUGGCUACAGGCUUAACACAUGCAAGUCGAGGGGAAACGACGGGGAAGCUUGCUUCCCCGGGCGUCGACCGGCGCACGGGUGAGUAACGCGUAUCCAACCUGCCUCUGACUGAGGGAUAACCCGUCGAAAGUCGGCCUAAUACCUCAUGGCAUCGUCUGCGGGCAUCCAACGACGAUUAAAGAUUUCAUCGGUCAGAGAUGGGGAUGCGUCUGAUUAGCUAGUUGGCGGGGUAACGGCCCACCAAGGCGACGAUCAGUAGGGGUUCUGAGAGGAAGGUCCCCCACAUUGGAACUGAGACACGGUCCAAACUCCUACGGGAGGCAGCAGUGAGGAAUAUUGGUCAAUGGGCGAGAGCCUGAACCAGCCAAGUAGCGUGCAGGAUGACGGCCCUAUGGGUUGUAAACUGCUUUUAUGCGGGGAUAAAGUGAGGGACGUGUCCUUCAUUGCAGGUACCGCAUGAAUAAGGACCGGCUAAUUCCGUGCCAGCAGCCGCGGUAAUACGGAAGGUCCAGGCGUUAUCCGGAUUUAUUGGGUUUAAAGGGAGCGUAGGCCGUGGAUUAAGCGUGUUGUGAAAUGCAGGUGCUCAACGUCUGCACUGCAGCGCGAACUGGUCCACUUGAGUGUGCGCAACGCAGGCGGAAUUCGUCGUGUAGCGGUGAAAUGCUUAGAUAUGACGAAGAACUCCGAUUGCGAAGGCAGCUUGCGGGAGCACAACUGACGCUGAAGCUC
rnacentral:rRNA from 1 species